UCCCAGAACUUCUCCCAAAGGAUCCAGAACCUGGAGACACUUCCAUCUGUCAAGGUUCUGGAGCCAAUCAUCCAGCUCCCCGGAUCCCCAAAAGAAGUGGCAGAACCGAGAUCUGACUUCAAGACACCGAACUGCUUUCUUUAACCUAUCAUUCAGUACAUACAAAGUGUCUUUCAGCUUGACUGCAUAAUCUAAAGCAGCCGGCAAUAACCUGAAUGCUGAAAAGAGGUGGAGACCUUUAGGAUAACCACUUCACCUGUCUGCGUCUCAAUUUGCUUACCCACAAUCGGAGAGAGAUCUCAGGGAGACCGUAUGUUUGACCUCUGCUGUGCCUCUCAACACAGCGUUUUCUGAUCCUGUGAACUGAUGACAGGAAGCGAUUUAUCUCGCGUCAGCAAGGGGAGGGAGGGUGUGGUGUCAACGUGGAGUGUAUCAUCCCCGCCUCCCCUCUCCUCCAAGGCCUAAACUUAGAUGUAGCACUUUUGGCCAGUGAACAGAUGGGUGUUUCCAAGCUUCGUCCAGGCGGGAGGGCAGGGGUUGUCGCCUGGUUCACUGGCCACGUCUCUGAGCUCUGGGGUGUAUCACUCCUCAGGGAUCCCAGCCUAACACCUUCGAGGGAUACUGGGACGGUAAAGGGGCCUCAGAGAUGUCGCCUCUAGGGGGAGCACAGGUACAUCCGCAGCAUCCAGAGUCUCCCAGUCCACCUUUGCUGGCUAGUUCGGGGGGUGGAGAGUGCGUCAGUGGUUCAAGAUGCUCUAACUCCCUUAGUCACCAGUUUCAUAGCAAAUGAUUCAAGCUCUGAUGUGGACAGCAUGAGUUGGGUUGGUGGGGGGGAAGGAGUGGAAACCAAGCCUCAAUGUAGGAGUUCCAAUUUUCCAGCUCAGGGACUACCGCCACCCCUCCCCCGUCACCCCCGUGCGCCUGAAAAAAAAAAUUUUUUUUUUUUUCAAACUCUCUUGGCCCUUCCUUCCCGAUUUCUAGUUCUAUUGUGCAUUUAGAGGCUAAUAGAAUGGAUCCUGCCUUCCGGGUGGAGUUUAAAUAUAUAUGAAUAAUUUUGCACGACUAUUGCGUCAUCAUAAAAGUCGUCGUGGUCCCCCAAGAGGGCUCCACGUCUUCUCCCAGCUUCGGGGCCUUGGGACGCUUCUGGGCGCUGCGGACACUUUCGCGAGGAGCCCUCGGCUCCGCCCGAGCGCGGGUCU